ACGGAGGGGGCAAGCGUUGUUCGGAGUGACUGGGCGUGAAGCGCACGUAGGCGGUAUUGUAAGUCAUGGGUCAAAGACGACAGCUUAACUGUCGGCCGGCCUGUGAAACUAUAGUACUAGAGUACUGGAGAGGAAUGCGGAAUAUGUGGUGUAGCGGUGGAAUGCGUAGAUAUCACAUGGAACACCUGUUGCGAAGGCGGCAUUCUGGUCAGUAACGGACGCUGAGGUGCGAAAGCGUGGGGAGCAAACAG
rnacentral:rRNA from 1 species